GCUACCCUGGAUCGCUCAGUUGGUUAGAGCGCAGCGCUGACAACACUAAGGUUGCAGGUUCGAUCCUUGUAUGGGCAGCU